rnacentral:rRNA from 1 species
GACGAACGCUGGCGGCGUGCCUAAUACAUGCAAGUUGAGCGAUGAAGAUUGGUGCUUGCACCCAUUUGAAGAGCAGCGAACGGGUGAGUAACGCGUGGGGAAUCUGCCUUUGAGCGGGGGACAACAUUUGGAAACGAAUGCUAAUACCGCAUAACAACUUUAAACAUAAGUUUUAAGUUUGAAAGAUGCAAUUGCAUCACUCAAAGAUGAUCCCGCGUUGUAUUAGCUAGUUGGUGAGGUAAAGGCUCACCAAGGCGAUGAUACAUAGCCGACCUGAGAGGGUGAUCGGCCACAUUGGGACUGAGACACGGCCCAAACUCCUACGGGAGGCAGCAGUAGGGAAUCUUCGGCAAUGGACGAAAGUCUGACCGAGCAACGCCGCGUGAGUGAAGAAGGUUUUCGGAUCAUAAAACUCUGUUGGUAGAGAAGAACGUUGGUGAGAGUGGAAAGCUCAUCAAGUGACGGUAACUACCCAGAAAGGGACGGCUAACUACGUG